rnacentral:rRNA from 1 species
GACGAACGCUGGCGGCGUGCUUAACACAUGCAAGUCGAACGGUGAAGCUCCAGCUUGCUGGAGUGGAUCAGUGGCGAACGGGUGAGUAACACGUGAGCAACCUGCCCCUGACUCUGGAAUAAGCGCUGGAAACGGCGUCUAAUACUGGAUACGAGAAGGGUCCGCAUGGGCACUUUCUGGAAAGUUUUUCGGUUGGGGUUGGGCUCGCGGCCUAUCAGCUUGUUGGUGAGGUAAUGGCUCACCAAGGCGACGACGGGUAGCCGGCCUGAGAGGGCGACCGGCCACACUGGGACUGAGACACGGCCCAGACUCCUACGGGAGGCAGCAGUGGGGAAUAUUGCACAAUGGGCGAAAGCCUGAUGCAGCGACGCCGCGUGAGGGAUGACGGCCUUCGGGUUGUAAACCUCUUUCAGCAGGGAAGAAGCGAAAGUGACGGUACCUGCAGAAGAAGCACCGGCUAACUACGUG